CUUCGAAAGAGCAAAACAAUAGAGGUUUUUUGCGUCCUUCAUUCUGUGGGAUCGUAUUGUUUUCAAAAGAAUAGAACGACAGCCAUUGAAUCAUUAGAAGCAGUUUUUCAAGGCUCACUGUAGUCGGCCAAGGUCCACUCGGGCUGAUUCUGGAGGAGGUCCUCGACUUGUGAGAUAGGGUACAGUUCAUCACACACCUGUCAGACAAGCCACACAGUAUAAAUGAAUACAGCAAGAAUACUAAAAGAAAAGAUGGAGACUAGGUAACGCGUAGACGAUUCAAAGGGGUUACUGUACCACAAACACAGGUCUUGACGCAGUCGAGCUUCAUGUAUGUUACUGAACAUGGAUGGCCGUUUUGGACUCGCCACUUGCAUGUAGAUGUUCCCACUUUGUCGAA